AGCGAACGCUGGCGGCAGGCUUAACACAUGCAAGUCGAGCGGGCACUUCGGUGUCAGCGGCAGACGGGUGAGUAACACGUGGGAACGUACCCUUUGGUUCGGAAUAACGCUGGGAAACUAGCGCUAAUACCGGAUACGCCCUUUUGGGGAAAGGCUUGCUGCCGAAGGAUCGGCCCGCGUCUGAUUAGCUAGUUGGUGGGGUAAUGGCCUACCAAGGCGACGAUCAGUAGCUGGUCUGAGAGGAUGAUCAGCCACACUGGGACUGAGACACGGCCCAGACUCCUACGGGAGGCAGGAGUGGGGAAUAUUGGACAAUGGGCGCAAGCCUGAUCCAGCCAGGCCGCGUGAGUGAUGAAGGCCUUAGGGUUGUAAAGCUCUUUUGUCCGGGACGAUAAUGACGGUACCGGAAGAAUAAGCCCCGGCUAACUUCGUG
rnacentral:rRNA from 1 species